UGGGGAAUAUUGCACAAUGGAGGGAACUCUGAUGCAGCAACGCCGCGUGCGGGAUGACGGCCUUCGGGUUGUAAACCGCUUUCAGCCAUGACGAAGCUUUUGUGACGGUAGUGGUAGAAGAAGCACCGGCUAACUACGUGCCAGCAGCCGCGGUGAUACGUAGGGUGCGAGCGUUGUCCGGAAUUAUUGGGCGUAAAGAGCUUGUAGGCGGUUUGUCGCGUCGAUAGUGUAAACACGCAGCUUAACUGUGUGCCUGCUGUCGAUACGGGCUGACUAGAGAAGGGUAGGGGAGAAUGGAAUUCCCGGUGGAGCGGUGGAAUGCGCAGAUAUCGGGAGGAACACCAGUGGCGAAGGCGGUUCUCUGGACCUUUCCUGACGCUGAGAAGCGAAAGCGUGGGUAGCAAACAGG
rnacentral:rRNA from 1 species